rnacentral:rRNA from 1 species
UGGGGAAUCUUGCGCAAUGGGCGAAAGCCUGACGCAGCAACGCCGCGUGUGUGAUGAAGGCUCUAGGGUCGUAAAGCACUGUCAGAAGGGAAGAAAAUUUGACGGUACCUUCAAAGGAAGCACCGGCUAACUCCGUGCCAGCAGCCGCGGUAAUACGGAGGGUGCAAGCGUUGUUCGGAAUCAUUGGGCGUAAAGCGCGCGCAGGCGGUUUGCCAAGUCUGAUGUGAAAGCCCGGGGCUCAACCUCGGAACUGCAUUGGAAACUGGUAGACUUGAGUAUGAGAGGGGUAUGUGGAAUUCCUGGUGUAGGGGUGAAAUCCGUAGAGAUCAGGAGGAACACCGGUGGCGAAG